AGUGGGGGAUAACGUAGCGAAAGUUACGCUAAUACCGCAUAUGCCCUGAGGGGGAAAGGAGGGGAUCGCAAGACCUUUCGCUUUCGGAGUGGCCGAUAUCAGAUUAGCUAGUUGGUGGGGUAAAGGCCCACCAAGGCGACGAUCUGUAGCGGGUCUGAGAGGAUGAUCCGCCACACUGGGACUGAGACACGGCCCAGACUCCUACGGGAGGCAGCAGUGGGGAAUUUUGGACAAUGGGGGCAACCCUGAUCCAGCCAUGCCGCGUGAGUGAAGAAGGCCUUCGGGUUGUAAAGCUCUUUCGGACAGAAAGAAAUCGCCGCUUCUAAUAAAGGUGGUGGAUGACGGUACUGUAAGAAGAAGCACCGGCUAACUACGUGCCAGCAGCCGCGGUAAUACGUAGGGUGCGAGCGUUAAUCGGAAUUACUGGGCGUAAAGCGUGCGCAGGCGGUUUUGUAAGACAGGUGUGAAAUCCCCGGGCUUAACCUGGGAACUGCAUUUGUGACUGCAAGGCUAGAGUGUGGCAGAGGGGGGUAGAAUUCCA
rnacentral:rRNA from 1 species